GUGGUGAACGCGAUGUUUCCUUGUGCAAAGGCAUCAACAAAAAGACUGGUGGACCUUAAAGAGGCCAUUUAUCGAUUUUUCCAACCCGAAAUUUACUGAUGCGAACAAAGGAAAAUUACCUGGAUGCUGACAUGUAUCACAAAAAACUUCCUGAUCCACACAACAUUCUACUGAUGUAUUCGUAGCAAACAGAAGGUUGGUUCAACAUAUUGCAUAGUAUUCCACUUAAUGCUAUGCAUACUGUGUAUAGCUGUGCUGUUCCCUGGCUUUUUCAUUAUACAUGGAUUGACGGCAAGUUAAAGGUGGAAAUCUCUCUAAAGCAUUAAUGGAUUUAUUGGAAUUGAAGCUGAAGAAAGUGAAAGGAUGUUUGCCAUAUGCCAUCCAGUUAAACAUUUGUACUAAACCAUUCAAGAAAUUUGGAAUUACCUGGUCGUGUGCUGAAAAGCGAAUUUUCCUCCUUUAUGUUGCAAUCGUUAUUCUCAGGCACCCGUUAAUGAAAGCUGAAGCAUACAAAAUUCUGCUUGCUUUUCAGCAUGCCGUAAUGUUGCUUGUUGGCUCUGGGCACAAUUCGAAGGUGCCAAAAGAACCGCUAAGGAAAGUAAGAGAGAAUUAACUGUAUUUAGUUGAGAAGUGUCAAAAGUUGUAUGGCGCUGACUUCCCACGUUAAACGUUUCAUUGCUUGCUGCAUAUUGUCAAUGAUUUGAUUGCAAAUAAUUGUCGACUUGAGUAUUGCUGCAUGUUUUGGUACGAGAAUUCGUUGAAAUUCUUUAUCCAUGUGCUUGAUGGAAGAGACGGACAUCGUGUCCAUGCACAAAUCCGCAACAGUUUGAUGCGGAAAAAGAUUUCAAACAUUCUUCUGCCGCCAAAUUGUCAAAGAAGACGUGCUCUACUAAAAGGUGGAAAAACAGGAGCAGAAACAAGCAUUAUACACCUUUUGAACUUCAAUGAGAAUGAUUUUGGUGUCAUCAACACAAUUUCUACUGACCAUCCAUCAAAUAAAAUUUAUCAAAUGUGAGAGGAAGGAAACAAACCGAGUGCCUAUGAACUCCAAGUAACGCGCCAUAUGAGACGAUUAAUUUUUCGGGAUUUUACGAUCUCCCGAACAAAUACCCGAACAAUGUUGUUCUCGUCAACAGUUCAAUUGGCAAGCCUAAAGUCUGCGUUGUUUCUGACAUGCGAUAUGAUGGUGUAGAAGACAAAUUCAAAGUGACAAUUUCUCCUUUCAAAAAACAAGGAGAUUUCUUUGAAGGAUAUCCGUGCGAUUCAUCAGAUUUCAAUAUUUUUCUCGUUUUUGGAGAUUUAAAUCAUGACAGAAAAACGCGAAGUUAAUGCAGGCUGCAUAAAAAAUCAGUUCGUCUGCCUCUUAUAUGAGAAAGAAGUUACUGACAUUGAUAUCAAUGUUAAAGAACAAAGUCAAUUUAACAUAAAAAUGCACAGUGGGUAUGCACUCCUUUGUUCCAUGUUAUAAAUAGUCAGUAAAUCUAUUUUUCCAUGUAUUUAAUAUAAUAAAGAUAAUAAUAAGGUAAAAA